CCGGGAGCCGGGCGGUGCGAGCGCCUCGCCUCAAGCUGCGGGCUCCACCGACCUGACGCACCGCACUGCGCUCCGUUUUAUCUAUCUAAUUUAACCGGAAGAAGGGAGAUUUAGACUGGCUAUAAGGUUUUUGAUGAUAAGGGCUGUGAGGCACUGGCACAGGUUGCCCAGAGGGGUGGUGGAUGCCACAUCCCUGGUGACAUCCAGGGUUGGACUGAACGGGGCUCUGAGCAACUUGAUCCAGCUGUAGGUGUCCCUGUUCAUUGCAGGGGAGUCGGACUAAAUGGUCUGUAAGGCCCGCUGAGCAGAAGAAGAGAGCAAGAUGAACUCCUACCCCCCUUCAAAACUCCUUCACAAAAUCAAAUGAACCAAAACAUAGCAUCAUACCAGACACUUUGAAGGAAACAAUUCCAUCCCAGCUGAAGCUAAGGCAGAUGGCCAUGAUCCCGCACCUUGGAUUUGUCCCCAGGCAUCAGGAGCUGCUCAGUACCUGUCCUGCGUGUGGCUACACAGGGUUUUUAUAGGAAUUACAGAUAGAUGAAAAGGCUGUCUCCUCCACCGAAACCCUCUAAGCACUUUUCCAUUGCAUGCAUCCAUUAUGCAAAACGAGCUUGACUACCAUGUGACUGACAAGAAUAAAUUAUGUAUGGCUGGAGCAACUGAAAGCUUCCUAGUGGAUGGAGUUGUGUUACAUCAGAGCUCAGCUUCUCAGAAACUCCCAUGGCUUCCCAGUGCUAAUUAGCUGCUGAAGCUCGGCUAUGACACAGCCUCACUUUCUUUGUUGUGACAAAGCGACCUAAGCCAACGUAUUGGUAGAC
ensembl:lncRNA